rnacentral:piRNA from 1 species
CUGCAUGGUAUUGGUACAGAGA